UGAGAGGCUUAUAUUUAACAGGUUAAG
rnacentral:piRNA from 1 species